CUCUCUGAACGGCUGUUUCUCCUUCACUUAAAAAACAAAACAACAAAGCUAUUCGCUCAGGAAGUAAAUUCCCACGCCAGGCACUCGUUCUGGGUUACAGUGCAGAGAGACUGCCAUCAGUGAGGAAGCGGGUCCCCUCAUGAAUCUGCCAGCCCUGUGAUCUUGGACUUGCCAGCCUCUAGAGAUGUGAAAACUAAAGUGUAACAACCGUAUGAUGAGAGCCAAAGAUCUAACAUGGGGCCCAGCCCUCCCACUCUCAAUGCUGUGUUACCUCGAGCCAGUCAGGCAACCUCUCUGGGCCUCCAUUUUAGCAUCUGUAAGACAGCAGCAUUGAACUAGAUCAUCCGGGAUGUUUUCUCUGUGUUUUCUCUGACACUGAGUGUACAAAGUCCACCAGUAUGAAGCGUGAUGUUGACUCUCCCUAACAUCUGAGAAAGGCGAGGUGGGGGAGGGGACAAAACAAAUGUGCAUUUCCCUAUGGGACCCCGUUUACCGGUGACACCGGAAAGAAGCUUUGCACUUGAAUGCUGCUCUCAUCUCCCACUGAUGUUCAGUCUCCAGCUCUGCCUUUUCAUGGCAGCGGGACUUUGAGCCAGAU